CCUACGGGCGGCUGCAGUGGGGAAUAUUGGACAAUGGGGGGAACCCUGAUCCAGCCAUGCCGCGUGUGUGAAGAAGGCCCUCGGGUUGUAAAGCACUUUCAGUGAGGAAGAACGCCUGGUGGUUAAUACCCAUCAGGAAAGACAUCACUCACAGAAGAAGCACCGUCUAACUCCGUGCCAGCAGCCGCGGUAAUACGGAGGGUGCGAGCGUUAAUCGGAAUUACUGGGCGUAAAGCGCGCGUAGGUGGCUUGAUAAGCCGGUUGUGAAAGCCCCGGGCUCAACCUGGGAACGGCAUCCGGAACUGUCAAGCUAGAGUGCAGGAGAGGAAGGUAGAAUUCCCGGUGUAGCGGUGAAAUGCGUAGAGAUCGGGAGGAAUACCAGUGGCGAAGGCGGCCUUCUGGACUGACACUGACACUGAGGUGCGAAAGCGUGGGUAGCAAACAGGAUUAGAUACCCGGGUAGUC
rnacentral:rRNA from 1 species